UGGAGUGCGGGACGCCCACGGCACUUUCCCAGGCCUAGCCUCUCGGUUUCGAGCACCUUGCCUUCCCUGCGACACCCCCGCCCCCUGCUCUUCGUGUCCGCAGCGUGGCCCAGACCCCCCAGCCCCUGUCCGUGUGCACUGUCCCUGCUAACUAGGUCUUAGUGUCUGUCUGGGUGUGGGACGUGAUGGGUGGCUCCACGGCGCUCUCCUUGGAUAUCCAUCCCUAAACCAAGCUGGACCCGGAAAGGCUGGGUGUUUUACUGGCUUGUCACAGCCUCCAGCUUAGCGAGUGGUUUCGGUUUGUUCCUUUUUUGGUUUUGUUUUUGCCUUAAAAAAAAAAAAAAAGAAAGAAAACUUCAGAACGAAGUAGACAAGAAUUAAAAGUUGGGAUGUUAACUGCUGCAACACAAAUCCUUCCUGAAAGCCUGAGAUAUGACACUAUUGUGACUUAUCCUUCAUGUGAAAUACUCAUACUUUAAGAAUUCUCUUUUAAAUAAAGUUCAUCUUCAUUAAUAAAAUCACUAUCACAAUUCAGUUUCUCAGUUUUGCAUGCUGCUUUUCCCUUUUCCCUUUUCUUUGUUUUCAAGUUCUCCAGUUCUCCUUAACCAACUGAAUUGAACAGAAAAGAGCACUUACCUGUAAUGUUACUGUCCACCUAAACCGUGUACAUAACUGUACAGUAGUUUUAAAAAAACCACUAGCUCUACAAACAGUUGAACUUGAGAGGAUUCCACGUUGCAGAAGGUUUUUUGUUCUUUGCAGUGCAAAAGGAUGAUCAUGGUGGCUUUUUUU
rnacentral:lncRNA from 1 species